GUCUUUUUGGUAUUAAUUUAAGGUUUAACCUGCCCAAUGAAAACUUAAAUGGCCGCGGUAUUUUGACUGUGCUAAGGUAGCAUAAUCAUUAGUUUUUUAAUUGAAAGCUGGUAUGAAGGGUUGGAUGAAAAAUUAACUGUCUCUAAUUAAUUUUAUUAGAAUUUUAUUUUUAAGUUAAAAAGCUUAAAUAAAUUUAAAAGACGAGAAGACCCUAUAGAGUUUAAUAUAUUUAAUUUAUUAAUAUUUAGAAUUUAUUUUUUAUAAUUAAAAUAUAUUUAGUUGGGGUGAUUAAAAAAUUUAAUAAACUUUUUUUAUAAAUUUAUAUUUAUUAAUAAAUUAAUGAUCCAAAAAUUUUGAUUAUAAGAUAAAUUACCUUAGGGAUAACAGCGUAAUUUUAUUAAAGAGUUCUUAUCGAAAAUAAAGUUUGCGA
rnacentral:rRNA from 1 species